CAUGCAAGUCGUACGAGAGUUUUUAACUCAAGUGGCGGACGGGUGAGUAACACGUAAGAAUUUACCUUUAGGAGGGGGAUAACAAGAGUUUUUAACUUUACUGGAAACAGUUGCUAAUACCCCAUAUGCUUUCGAGUGAAAUGGAUUUUUCCGCCUAGAGAGAAGCUUGCGGCUGAUUAGCUUGUUGGUGAGGUAAUGGCUCACCAAGGCGACGAUCAGUAUCUGGUUUGAGAGGACGAUCAGACACACUGGAACUGAGACACGGUCCAGACUCCUACGGGAGGCAGCAGUGGGGAAUUUUCCGCAAUGGGCGAAAGCCUGACGGAGCAAUACCGCGUGAGGGAUGACGGCCUAUGGGUUGUAAACCUCUUUUUUCAGGGAGGAAUCAAUGACGUGUACCUGAAGAAUAAGCAUCGGCUAACUCCGUGCCAGCAGCCGCGGUAAGACGGAGGAUGCAAGUGUUAUCCGGAAUCACUGGGCGUAAAGCGUCUGUAGGUGGUUUAAUAAGUCAACUGUUAAAUCUUGAGGCCCAACCUCAGAAUCGCAGUCGAGACUAUUAGACUAGAGUAUAGUAGGGGUAAAGGGAAUUUCCAGUGGAGCGGUGAAAUGCGUAGAGAUUGGAGAGAACACCGAUGGCGAAGGCACUUUACUGGGCUAUUACUAACA
rnacentral:rRNA from 1 species